rnacentral:rRNA from 1 species
UACGUAGGGCGCAAGCGUUGUCCGGAAUUAUUGGGCGUAAAGAGCUCGUAGGCGGCCAGUUGCGUCUGCUGUGAAAUCCCGGGGCUCAACCCCGGGCGUGCAGUGGAUACGGGCUGGCUAGAGGCAGGCAGGGGAGAACGGAAUUCCCGGUGUAGCGGUGAAAUGCGCAGAUAUCGGGAGGAACACCGGUGGCGAAGGCGGUUCUCUGGCCUGUACUGACGCUGAGGAGCGAAAGCGUGGGGAGCGAACAGG